rnacentral:rRNA from 1 species
CCUACGGGAGGCAGCAGUGGGGAAUAUUGGACAAUGGGCGAAAGCCUGAUCCAGCAAUGCCGCGUGUGUGAAGAAGGCCUUCGGGUUGUAAAGCACUUUAAGUUGGGAAGAAAAAGCUCUGGCUAAUAUCUAGAGCCUUGACGGUACCAACAGAAUAAGCACCGGCUAACUCUGUGCCAGCAGCCGCGGUAAUACAGAGGGUGCUAGCGUUAAUCGGAUUUACUGGGCGUAAAGCGUGCGUAGGCGGUUUGAUAAGUCGAUUGUGAAAGCCCCGGGCUUAACCUGGGAAUUGCAGUUGAUACUGUCAGACUAGAAAACGGUAGAGGGAGGCGGAACUCCAGGUGUAGCGGUGAAAUGCGUAGAUAUCUGGAAGAACACCGAUGGCGAAGGCAACCUCCUGGGCCUGUUUUGACGCUGAGGCACGAAAGCGUGGGUAGCAAACAGGAUUAGAUACCCUGGUAGUCCACGCCGUAAACGAUGAGAACUUGACGUUGGUUUGCUUAGCAAAUCGGUGUCGUAGCUAACGCGAUAAGUUCUCCGCCUGGGGAGUACGGCCGCAAGGUUGAAACUCAAAUGAAAUUGACGG